UACGUAGGGGGCAAGCGUUGUCCGGAAUCAUUGGGCGUAAAGAGCUUGUAGGCGGUUUGUCGCGUCUGCUGUGAAAAUCCGGGGCUCAACCCCGGACUUGCAGUGGGUACGGGCAGACUGGAGUGUGGUAGGGGAGACUGGAAUUCCUGGUGUAGCGGUGGAAUGCGCAGAUAUCAGGAGGAACACCGAUGGCGAAGGCAGGUCUCUGGGCCACUACUGACGCUGAGAAGCGAAAGCAUGGGGAGCGAACAGG
rnacentral:rRNA from 1 species